rnacentral:lncRNA from 1 species
UAUCUGUUUCCUGCUCCUCUUGAAAUAAAGUUUCAUCAUUUACCCCAACAUAGUCAUUAUUUUCAAUAGCAGUGGCUAAGAUAUCAAUGCCUAUUGUAGCUAGAUGCUCACUAUUGUUGUGCCUUUGGUUCUCUCUUACUUCAUCCACUCGAAUCUCUUCUAUUGCAGUUGUAGUACUUCUACAUGUUUCAAUUUGAUCUUGGCUGUUUAGUGUUGAUUGAAAAAGUUGUAUAAUAUUGGCCUCUUUUGUGACAAAUAAAAAGCACUCUUUCAAAUCCUUAUACUCCUCAAACAAACUCAUCAAUUUCUGAUCUGUGUCUAAUUCAUGUAAGACUUAGGCGUUAAAUGUCUAAUCACUGACCAAAUCUUUAUCGUCUCUUCAAGCUUCAAAUUAAAGGUAUGCACUAUAUCAUCAUAUAGGUUCUUGUAGCAAUAACAGUCAACAUCAACUAACCAACUCUUUUGUCUCCCAAAGUAGUACUUCAUUCCUGUAGAACUUUUUAAUCUUCUUAAAAUAUCCUCCAAAUUUCACCUUCAAUUUGAAUAGUUGUUGCUC